rnacentral:rRNA from 1 species
CCUACGGGUGGCAGCAGUGAGGAAUAUUGGUCAAUGGGCGCGAGCCUGAACCAGCCAAGUCGCGUGAGGGAAGACGGUCCUAUGGAUUGUAAACCUCUUUUGUCGGGGAGCAAAAGACGCCACGCGUGGCGUUCCGAGUGUACCCGAUGAAAAAGCAUCGGCUAACUCCGUGCCAGCAGCCGCGGUAAUACGGAGGAUGCGAGCGUUAUCCGGAUUUAUUGGGUUUAAAGGGUGCGCAGGCGGAAGAUCAAGUCAGCGGUAAAAUUGAGAGGCUCAACCUCUUCGAGCCGUUGAAACUGGUUGUCUUGAGUGAGCGAGAGGUAUGCGGAAUGCGUGGUGUAGCGGUGAAAUGCAUAGAUAUCACGCAGAACUCCGAUUGCGAAGGCAGCAUACCGGCGCUCAACUGACGCUCAUGCACGAAAGUGUGGGUAUCGAACAGGAUUAGAUACCCUGGUAGUC